rnacentral:rRNA from 1 species
AGUGAACGCUGGCGGUAGGCCUAACACAUGCAAGUCGAACGGCAGCACAGUAAGCGCUUGCUCUUACGGGUGGCGAGUGGCGGACGGGUGAGGAGUACAUCGGAAUCUACUUUUUCGUGGGGGAUAACGUAGGGAAACUUACGCUAAUACCGCAUACGACCUACGGGUGAAAGCAGGGGAUCUUCGGACCUUGCGCGAUUGAAUGAGCCGAUGUCGGAUUAGCUAGUUGGCGGGGUAAAGGCCCACCAAGGCGACGAUCCGUAGCUGGUCUGAGAGGAUGAUCAGCCACACUGGAACUGAGACACGGUCCAGACUCCUACGGGAGGCAGCAGUGGGGAAUAUUGGACAAUGGGCGCAAGCCUGAUCCAGCCAUACCGCGUGGGUGAAGAAGGCCUUCGGGUUGUAAAGCCCUGUUGUUGGGAAAGAAAAGCAGCAGGUGAAUACCCCGCUGUUCUGACGGUACCCAAAGAAUAAGCACCGGCUAACUUCGUG